rnacentral:piRNA from 1 species
UGCACAUUCUAUAGAUUAUAUAUGUGAAAG